AGAGUUUGAUCCUGGCUCAGAACAAACGCUGGCGGCGUGCCUAACACAUGCAAGUCGUACGAGAAAGGGUCCUUCGGGACCUGAGUAAAGUGGCGCACGGGUGAGUAACGCGUGGAUAAUCUGCCCUUCAGUUGGGAAUAACUCAUCGAAAGGUGGGCUAAUACCGAAUAAUACUGUGAGACCUCGGUCGAUCAGUCAAAGAGAGCCUCUGCUUGCAUGCCCUUGCUGAAGGAUGAGUCCGCGUACCAUUAGCUAGUUGGUAGGGUAAUGGCCUACCAAGGCGACGAUGGUUAGCUGGUCUGAGAGGAUGAUCAGCCACACUGGAACUGACACACGGUCCAGACUCCUACGGGAGGCAGCAGUGAGGAAUUUUGCGCAAUGGGGGAAACCCUGACGCAGCAACGCCGCGUGAGUGAUGAAGGCUUUCGGGUCGUAAAGCUCUGUCAAGUGGGAAGAACCUACCUGUGGCUAAUAUCCACGGGUACUGACGGUACCACUGAAGGAAGCACCGGCUAACUCCGUGCCAGCAGCCGCGGUAAUACGGGGGGUGCAAGCGUUAUUCGGAUUUACUGGGCGUAAAGCGCGCGCAGGCGGUUUUGUAAGUCAGAUGUGAAAGCCCUGGGCUCAACCCGGGAAGUGCAUCUGAUACUGCAAGACUUGAGUAUGGGAGAGGGAAGUGGAAUUCCUGGUGUAGAGGUGAAAUUCGUAGAUAUUAGGAGGAACACCGGUGGCGAAGGCGGCUACCUGGACCGAUAUUGACGCUGAGACGCGAAAGCGUGGGUAGCAAACAGGAUUAGAUACCCUGGUAGUCC
rnacentral:rRNA from 1 species